rnacentral:lncRNA from 1 species
UUUUGUAGGGCAAGAAUACUUACAAUACGUGACUUUGGCUCCUUAAUUUUCUUCUCAUUUCUUCCAGUUUUCAUUUGAAAACAAAACAGUAUUUAUCAUCUGAGAAAUAUCAGAAAAUUUCUAAACAUAACUGUUUGGAUGAGAUUUUACAGGAUUUUCAGGAUUAUGACCUGACCUUGAAAACCCUCCAGACGUGGGCAAUGUCUUCCCAGUGAAAUCAAGCCAACAUUAAUAAAACAUCCCUUCCAUACAUCUCCACUCCUCUCCUCCCACAUACUGUAUGCUUUCAUUACCAUCUCUGGGAAAAAACUGACAUUAAAGAAAAUUCAUCUGAUCUUAUCUGUAAUUAAUUUGUAUUUUGAUAAUAUAGAAGAAGAAUUUUUGCAUGUAAUGACUUACCUGUUCAUUAUUUCUCUCCUUUGAACUCCUGUGACCGCUUAAUAACUCAUGCCAAAGCAGAACUGAUUAUGACAUUUUCCCCACC